UCUCAGCGGCGCUUGGGAAGUUGGAUUCCCAGCUCACAGCACGGCAAAGGUAGGAUCGAACGCACAGUGAUCAGUGUGCCCCUCCCUUUGACAGCCCUACAGCCAGGAACUAAACUUGAGUGCACCAUCCAAAACACAGGAGAAAAAAAACCCCUCAGCAUUGCCUGCCCGCGGUAGGGGCUGGCCCCCUCCCAGGAGGGUGGUGCGUCAAAAAGCCCUUCCUCGAGCUGUUCUCCACUCGGGAUACCAGUGUAGCAAGAAUGGGGACCUGAGGUAGGGAGCCUCUUCACCCCAAUAUCUGCCUUCCGUCAGCUCACGGUCACCCCCACAAAAUGUGCCACCUUGCCGGCCAAAUAUCACGAGGAAGAUGACCCAGGCACUUCCCUGCCCCGGCGUGAGGGGAUUUUUAUCUCCCGUCUCAAACGGCAUCAUUAAAACACUUGGAAUCCCAAACCACAACAUGGUGCCCACCGCAUGAGGGAGGAGCGGCCAUUUUGGGCACUGAGGGGCUCGGCGCCACCGCUUCCCCGUGCCACGCUGGGAUGAAGCGGGCGGCUCCCGGAGGAGCGGGUGGCCAGCUCGGGAUGGCCUC